UACGUAGGCAGCAAGCGUUGUUCGGAAUUACUGGGCGUAAAGGGCGCGUAGGCGGUUCGUUAAGUCCUGUGUGAAAUCCCCCGGCUCAACUGGGGAACUGCACAGGAAACUAGCGGGCUUGAGUUCGGGAGAGGGAAGCGGAAUUCCGGGUGUAGCGGUGAAAUGCGUAGAUAUCCGGAGGAACACCGGUGGCGAAGGCGGCUUCCUGGACCGACACUGACGCUGAGGCGCGAAAGCUAGGGGAGCAAACGGG
rnacentral:rRNA from 1 species